rnacentral:rRNA from 1 species
UACGAAGGGGGCUAGCGUUGCUCGGAAUCACUGGGCGUAAAGGGUGCGUAGGCGGGUCUUUAAGUCAGGGGUGAAAUCCUGGAGCUCAACUCCAGAACUGCCCUUGAUACUGAGGAUCUUGAGUUCGGGAGAGAUGAGUGGAACUGCGAGUGUAGAGGUGAAAUUCGUAGAUAUUCGCAAGAACACCAGUGGCGAAGGCGGCUCACUGGCCCGAUACUGACGCUGAGGCGCGAAAGCGUGGGGAGCAAACAGG